rnacentral:misc_RNA from 1 species
AACUUUCGGCAAUGGAUCACUUGGCUCUGGCAUCGAUGAAGAACGCAGCGAAAUGCGAUAAGUAGUGUGAAUUGCAGAAUUCAGUGAAUCAUCGAAUCUUUGAACGCACAUUGCGCCCCUUGGUAUUCCAUGGGGCAUGCCUGUUCGAGCGUCAUCUACACCCUCAAGCUCUGCUUGGUGUUGGGCGUCUGUCCCCGCCUCUGCGCGUGGACUCGCCCCAAAUUCAUUGGCAGCGGUGUCUUUUUGCCCCAGUCUUGCGCAGCACAUUGCGCUUGCAGAACUGCGGCGGCCCGCGAUCCAGCAAGCUCCUUUCACCGUCUUUGACCUCGGAUCAGGUAGGGAUACCCGCUGAACUUAAGCAUAUCAAUAAGCGGAGGCU